rnacentral:rRNA from 1 species
UACGUAGGGGGCUAGCGUUGUCCGGAAUCAUUGGGCGUAAAGAGCGUGUAGGCGGUCCGGUAAGUCCGCUGUGAAAGUCGGGGGCUCAACCCUCGAAUGCCGGUGGAUACUGUCGGGCUAGAGUGCGGAAGAGGCGAGUGGAAUUCCUGGUGUAGCGGUGAAAUGCGCAGAUAUCAGGAGGAACACCUGCGGCGAAGGCGGGUAGCUGGGCCGACACUGACGCUGAGGCGCGAAAGCCAGGGGAGCGAACGGG